rnacentral:tRNA from 1 species
UUUCUUAUAGUUUAUUUAAAAUAUAAUAUUGAAAAUAUUAAGAGCUUAUGUAAGAA